CUGCUGCGGGCAGAUCCAAUGGAUAUGGGUAUCGAUGCCGCCAGCGGUGACGAUCUUGCCUUCCGCGGCGAUCACUUCCGUCGCCGUGCCGAUCGGGAUCGUCACGUUGGGCUGAAUGUCCGGGUUUCCGGCUUUGCCGAUCGCGAAGAUCCGUCCGUCUUUGACGCCGAUAUCGGCUUUGACGAUCCCCCAGUAGUCGAUAAUCAGCGCAUUGGUCAGCACCAGAUCGACGCAUUCAUCGGACAGCAUCUGCCCCUGACCCAUGCCGUCGCG
rnacentral:sRNA from 1 species